AAGCUUCAGGAAACUGGAGUGUGCCUCUUGAGGAACCCGGUGACAGGUGCUGCAUGGCUGUCGUCAGCUCGUGUCGUGAGAUGUUGGGUUGAGUCCCGCAACGAGCGCAACCCUUGUCUUUAGUUGCCAUCAUUAAGUUGGGCACUCUAAAGAGACUGCCGGUGUCAAACCGGAGGAAGGUGGGGAUGACGUCAAGUCCUCAUGGCCUUUAUGACCAGGGCUACACACGUACUACAAUGGCAUAGACAAAGGGCAGCGACAUCGCGAGGUGAAGCGAAUCCCAUAAACUAUGUCUCAGUCCGGAUUGGAGUCUGCAACUCGACUCCAUGAAGUUGGAAUCGCUAGUAAUCGUAGAUCAGCAUGCUACGGUGAAUACGUUUCCGGGCCUUGUACACACCGCCCGUCACACCACGGGAGUUGGUUGUACCAGAAGCAGUUGAGCAAACUAUUCGUACAUGCAGGCUGCCAAGGUAUGAUUGGUAACUGGGGUG
rnacentral:rRNA from 1 species